rfam:Monodelphis domestica chromosome 8, whole genome shotgun sequence.
CACCGUUUCAGUGGCAUUUAAAUCCCGGGCGCUCCUCCAUCAAGGUGACGCGCAGUCGCCCCCCCGGCAGCAGCAGCGGCAACGGCAGCGGCAGCGGCAGCGGCAACGGCGGGAGCCCGGCACUGGG